rnacentral:lncRNA from 1 species
GAUUGUGAAGAAAACUUGUUUUCAUUUCCCUGCAAAGGGGAAGACAUCCCUACAUAAAGGGCAGGCAUACCAAUGAUUUACUCCUUCAAAUAGGAAAAAAAAAAAAAAAAAAAGCACCCAAAAAAAUGUUUGAAAAACUCAAAGAGGAUGUAAAGCAACUGUCAGUUAACCACCCAAGUUAACUGACAUUCAAAUAUGCUGCAGAUUCCCCCAGGGGUGAAUUUCUGGUAGCUGUAAUUUAUUUGAAAAACCAGUGAUUUGGAGUAAUCUGCCCUAAGAAGCUAAAUAAAGUCUCGCAGUGAUGCGCCAUUGUGCCUCUGGCUGCUUGGAAGAAUCACUCAUGAAACUAUUUUGUGUGUGUUUAUUGCGUUUCUGUGUUAAGUCACAGGACACUUUUUACAAACCUCACAUAGGGAGAGGUUGUCAAGGCACAAAACCUGCAGUAAGUUUCCAAAAAGGGGAUUUAAUUAUUUUUUCUACAAAAAUGUUUUUAAAAAAAGGUAAAAA